rnacentral:rRNA from 1 species
GCGCGCUCAAGACCCGAAGCGGAGUGAUCUAGCCAUGGGCAGGUUGAAGCGGCUGUAAGAGGUCGUGGAGGACCGAACCCACCAGGGUUGAAAACCUGGGGGAUGACCUGUGGUUAGGGGUGAAAGGCCAAUCAAACUCCGUGAUAGCUGGUUCUCCCCGAAAUGCAUUUAGGUGCAGCGUCGUGUGUUUCUUGCCGGAGGUAGAGCACUGGAUAGGCGAUGGGCCCUACCGGGUUACUGACCUUAGCCAAACUCCGAAUGCCGGUAAGUGAGAGCGCGGCAGUGAGACUGUGGGGGAUAAGCUCCAUGGUCGAGAGGGAAACAGCCCAGAGCAUCGACUAAGGCCCCUAAGCGUACGCUAAGUGGGAAAGGAUGUGGAGUCGCAGAGACAACCAGGAGGUUGGCUUAGAAGCAGCCACCCUUGAAAGAGUGCGUAAUAGCUCACUGGUCUAGUGAUUCCGCGCCGACAAUGUAGCGGGGCUCAAGCGUACCGCCGAAGUCGUGUCAUUGCAGCAAUACGCCCAACGGCGGCUGUGAUGGGUAGGGGAGCGUCGUGUGCCGGGUGAAGCCGCGCCGGAAGGCAGUGGUGGACGGUUCACGAGUGAGAAUGCAGGCAUGAGUAGCGAUACACACGUGAGAAACGUGUGCGCCGAUUGACUAAGGGUUCCUGGGUCAAGCUGAUCUGCCCAGGGUAAGUCGGGACCUAAGGCGAGGCCGACAGGCGUAGUCGAUGGAUAACCGGUUGAUAUUCCGGUACCCGCUGUGAAGCGUCAAACAUUGAACCAGGCGAUGCUAAGUCCGUGAAGCCGCCCCGGAGCCUUCGGGCAAAGGGGAGUGGUGGAGCCGACGGACCAGACCUGCAGUAGGUGAGUGAUGGGGUGACGCAGGAAGGUAGUCCAUCCCGGGCGGUGGUUGUCCCGGGGUAAGGGUGUAGGCCGUGUGAUAGGUAAAUCCGUCGCACAUCAAGGCUGAGACCUGAUGCCGAGCCGAUUGUGGUGAAGUGGAUGAUCCUAUGCUGUCGAGAAAAGCCUCUAGCGAGUUUCAUGGCGGCCCGUACCCUAAACCGACUCAGGUGGUCAGGUAGAGAAUACCGAGGCGUUCGGGUGAACUAUGGUUAAGGAACUCGGCAAAAUGCCCCCGUAACUUCGGGAGAAGGGGGGCCAUCACCGGUGAGAGGAUUUACUCCUUGAGCUGGGGGUGGCCGCAGAGACCAGCGAGAAGCGACUGUUUACUAAAAACACAGGUCCGUGCGAAGCCGUAAGGCGAUGUAUACGGACUGACGCCUGCCCGGUGCUGGAACGUUAAGGGGACCGGUUAGUCACUCUUCGGGGUGGCGAAGCUGAGAACUUAAGCGCCAGUAAACGGCGGUGGUAACUAUAACCAUCCUAAGGUAGCGAAAUUCCUUGUCGGGUAAGUUCCGACCUGCACGAAUGGCGUAACGACUUCUCGACUGUCUCAACCAUAGGCCCGGUGAAAUUGCACUACGAGUAAAGAUGCUCGUUUCGCGCAGCAGGACGGAAAGACCCCGGGACCUUUACUACAGUUUGAUAUUGGUGUUCGGUUCGGCUUGUGUAGGAUAGGUGGGAGACUUUGAAGCGGCAGCGCCAGCUGUUGUGGAGUCGUCGUUGAAAUACCACUCUGGUCGUGCUGGAUGUCUAACCUGGGUCCGUGAUCCGGAUCAGGGACAGUGUCUGAUGGGUAGUUUAACUGGGGCGGUUGCCUCCUAAAGAGUAACGGAGGCGCCCAAAGGUUCCCUCAGCCUGGUUGGUAAUCAGGUGUUGAGUGUAAGUGCACAAGGGAGCUUGACUGUGAGACCGACGGGUCGAGCAGGGACGAAAGUCGGGACUAGUGAUCCGGCGGUGGCUUGUGGAAGCGCCGUCGCUCAACGGAUAAAAGGUACCCCGGGGAUAACAGGCUGAUCUUCCCCAAGAGUCCAUAUCGACGGGAUGGUUUGGCACCUCGAUGUCGGCUCGUCGCAUCCUGGGGCUGGAGUCGGUCCCAAGGGUUGGGCUGUUCGCCCAUUAAAGCGGUACGCGAGCUGGGUUUAGAACGUCGUGAGACAGUUCGGUCCCUAUCCGCUGCGCGCGUAGGAAUAUUGAGAAGGGCUGUCCCUAGUACGAGAGGACCGGGACGGACGAACCUCUGGUGUGCCAGUUGUCCUGCCAAGGGCAUGGCUGGUUGGCUACGUUCGGGAGGGAUAACCGCUGAAAGCAUCUAAGCGGGAAGCCUGCUUCGAGAUGAGUAUUCCCACCCCCUUUGAGGGGUUAAGGCUCCCAGUAGACGACUGGGUUGAUAGGCCGGAUCUGGAAGGCGGGUAACCGCUGGAGGUGACCGGUACUAAUAGGCCGAGGGCUUGUCCUC